AUGGACUGGUCAUGGAACAGCGAGCCAUCACUGCCGCCGUGCAGUGGGUUGGAUGUCGUCGCCUACGCGCUGCACCCGGACGGACGCACCAUCUUCAUGUCCACUGCCUCUGUCACCCAUUCCUUCGACACUGGCAAUGGCCUUUGGAAGGAGCUUGGGGACUGGGUGUUGCCGUUCAGAGGACAAGCCUACUUCGACGGCAGCCUGGAUGCAUGGGUCGGGAUUCAUCACAAGGGCGAAGGGCACGUUUGCUGCUGCCCGGUCGCCUCCCGCAGCGCCGCCGCCGAGCGGCCGCCGGACUGCAGGAUGCUCAAGGAGAAGCUGUUCCGCCGCAACAAUGAGGAGCCGUGGAUGGGUGGCGGCCGGCACAUGGAUGUCACUCUCACCUAA
rnacentral:rRNA from 1 species